UGGACGCAGACCACGUUAGAACCUCGGCUCCUGGAGUAGCAGAACCUCGGCUUCAAUGGGACCCUCAUUUCAUAAAUGAAGAAACUGAGAUUCAAAGAGGGGAACUACCGAAGGUUACAGAGCGAGUUCGUGGAUGGGGAAACUGAGCCUCACAUGUAUGAAUUCCAGCAUAUAAGCAACAGACUCCAGAUUUGGACAUGUAUAUCUUAUUCCAGGCUUCCCAGAUGACCACCAAGGUGGAAGGGAUGAUGAUGUCCAGGCAGAAGGGAGCUAGGCCGGCCCAGGCUUUUCCUCUAGGCACAGCGGACUCCAGGUUCAGCCUUCCCGGAUGGCUUUAUUUGAGGAGCCUGGCAGUCCUAUAAGGGGAAACCCACCUAUUACUUCAAGCAAAGCUGAUGCAGAGAGAUGAGCCAAUUGAGCAGGAGACAAUGUAAGCAGCUGUGGGGGUGUCGAGUACUCCCUCCUGCCUGUGGGAGCUGCACCGUGGAGUCUAGCUUGUCACCCUCCGGAGGCAGAGCCCCUCCUCCCUGCCUCCUCUUGGUCUAGAUGGACAGCCAUGGCAGCGGAGGCUGCAGAGCUGAGCAGGCCCAGCUGCAGCCUCCCAGCCUUUGGAACCCUGCUUCUCCAUCUUGGCCACACAUAGGAUCACCUGAGGAGCUCAAAGUCUACAGCCCAAGGUUGGUGAGAUGGGAACCACCCAGCACAGCGGGAUCUCCUUGGAACCUAAAUCCAGUGAUGGAAUCUUAUUGUCCACAGUCUUUUGUGGUAUGUGCUACCACCGAAGAUCCUCUCCUAACCUAUCAUGUGUUCAAUACGUCUCAGCUCCUAGACUUGCUGAAGCCGACGGAAUAAAAGAACCUCUCAACACUGGGGCCAAUA
rnacentral:lncRNA from 1 species